rnacentral:rRNA from 1 species
UACAGAGGGUGCUAGCGUUAAUCGGAAUUACUGGGCGUAAAGGGCGCGUAGGCGGUGAGAUAUGUGUGAUGUGAAAGCCCUGGGCUUAACCUAGGAAGUGCAUCGCAAACUGUCUCGCUGGAGUAUAUGAGAGGGUGGCGGAAUUUCCGGUGUAGCGGUGAAAUGCGUAGAGAUCGGAAGGAACGUCGAUGGCGAAGGCAGCCACCUGGCAUAAUACUGACGCUGAGGCGCGAAAGCGUGGGGAGCGAACAGGAUUAGAUACCCUGGUAGUCCACGCUGUAAACGAUGAGUACUAAAUGUUGGUAGGGGAACCUAUCGGUAUUGAAGUUAACACGAUAAGUACUCCGCCUGGGAAGUACGGCCGCAAGGUUGAA